UUCCACUUUUAUGAAGAUAGUGAAGGAACUAUCAAGAAAAAUAUUUUGAAAAGUAUGGAGAAGUCUUGGAAGAAAACAAGGCUGAGGUUGUAUGCUUUUUAUGAGCCAACAUUCACGAUUGAACAAAAUAUUGAGCACCAUCCGUCUGGAAUUGAUCGAGAGCAUUGGAGAUGGUUCCUUAACUAUCGCGCCAAAGCUGAGAUGAAGGAGAAGUGCAGAAAAAAUGUAAUUAAUAAAUAAAAAAAAAUAUAUACCCACACUGGUGGUUCAAAAAGUUUCGCACGGCGGAUGGAAGAAAAGUCGGAACAACAAGGGAGGAGAGUCGGUAGAGGAGAGCUAUGAAUCACAGUGCACAAAAAAAAAAGAUGGCUCCUAUAUCAAUGAUGAAGCAAGAGCAAUUGGUAAAAGAAUUGAGGAGAUUGAGCAACAGGAUGAGUCUUCUAGAGUGUUGUCUCAAAAUGAUUUCAUUGCUCAGGUGUUCGGAAAAGAGAAUCCGGGUAGAGUACGUGGUGUGGGUUUCGGACCGACUCCUAGUCAACUCUUCGGUCCGAAUUCACAUGCGCCGGGCAACAGAGUUCAAGUAGAGGAGACACAGAGGAAGCUGCUUGAACUGCAGACAGAGCUGGAAGGCGAGAAGUUGAAGAGGAACGCGAUGGAGGAUGAGGUAGCAGCAGAGAAGAAAAAAAAGCA